GGGGACGGUCAUUUUUGGCUGCUUAUAUACACUGAUACUGGACGGUCAUUUUUGCUGGUUAUAUAUAAACUGAUACUGAUUUUUUAUGCCAACUUAUAAGAGAGCCAAAUGUGAGACGCAAACAAAGCUAUGUGAUAUAAAUAUUGUGAUGGAUCUAAAAAAGUUUUAAAGAAACAAAGGUAAAUGGUACUCCAUAGUGUCUGCCAAAGUUUGAAGAAGGAAAGAUAUUGAGAUCCCCACUCAGUUUCACCGCAAAAAAAGGAGUAUCUCCUUGUAGGGAUGGAGGAAGUAGUACCCUUCUGUUUUUCCUUGGGAGGCCAAAAGUAUUUGAUGGAUUUUCCUGGUCGUAUUCAUAUCGGAUCAGAUGUGAUGGCACAAGGGUGGUCCUUGGAUUCAUCAAGAUCAUCAUGGACAUGGACCAUAUAUAUAAAUAAUGUGAUGAGACUAGACAAUUGGAAUCGCUGAUUUGGACCGUUGAAGUGAAUACUGUACCAAUUUUUUGGAAGCAUGUGUAAGCGAGCUGUCGACAUUCCUUGCGCAUGAAGUGAAUGUUUUCAUGUUGUGUGCGUGAUAGGACUCUUCUAAUAUAUAAGAUACUUUUUUG